UUUUCCAUAUAAGCCAUACAAACACCGCCAACAUUUCAACCUUCCCCGGUCUCUAUCUUAGAAAAAGAAGAAGAAAAAAAAAGAAGAAAGAAGAAAGAAUCUCUAGUCGUCUCCCCACUACCGCAUUCACAGCGCACCACCUCCCUCUCUAAACCAUCACACCUCCAUUUUAAGCCCCCACCCAAGUCCACAAUUCUCAUUCAAACCAAACCUCAAACACCUUACCUGCACUACACAAACCCAUCUCCUCGCCAACCACCACGACUCUCACCUCUACCUUUCUCGAUCACCACUCACCGCACUCCACCGCCGUGACCGCAAGCUCCUCACCGUCGCCGUCGCCUGAAGCUUUGGGGUAACAAUGGAGGACACUUCUAAGCUCACUGAAUGUAGAACCAAGUCAACGAUGGUUUCAGCAGACGAGGCUCUCCAAAUAGUGUUGAGCGUGGCUCAACGUCUACCGCCUGUGACUGUUCCCCUUCUCGAUGCUCUUGGCAAGGUCUUGGCUGAGGAUAUUCGUGCACCUGAUCCUUUGCCCCCUUAUCCAGCUUCUGUUAAGGAUGGUUAUGCUGUAAUUGCUGCAGAUGGGCCAGGUGAAUAUUCGGUUAUUGCUGAAGCUAGAGCCGGGAAUGAUGGAGUUGGAGUGAUUGUGACUCCUGGAACUGUUGCAUAUGUAACAACUGGAGGACCAAUACCUGAUGGUGCUGAUGCAGUUGUUCAAGUUGAGGACACUGAGCAAAUUGAAAAUGCUUCGGUUGAAUCAAAAAGAGUAAAAAUAUUGGUACAAACUAAUGAAGGUGUUGAUAUACGUCCAGUGGGAUGCGACAUUGAACAAGAUGCCAUAGUUUUAAAAUCUGGAGAAAGAGUAGGUGCUUCAGAAAUUGGCUUACUUGCUGCCGUGGGGGUAACAAUGGUGAAGGUAUAUCCUACCCCGACAAUUGGUGUGCUUUCUACUGGAGAUGAGCUCUCAGAGCCAGCAACCAAGGUUCUGAGUUGUGGCCAGAUUAGGGACUCCAACCGUGCUAUGAUACUGGCAGCUGCAGUACAACAGCAGUGCAAAGUUCUUGACCUUGGCAUUGCUAGGGAUGAUGAAGAUGAACUUGAGAGAAUCUUAGAUACUGCUUUAUCUGCUGGGAUUGAUAUUCUUCUAACUUCUGGAGGUGUUUCCAUGGGAGACAAGGAUUUUGUCAAGCCAUUGCUUGCAAAGAGAGGGACAGUGUAUUAUAGUAAGGUUUUCAUGAAACCAGGGAAACCUUUGACAUUUGCCGAGAUCAAUUUAGAACAAGCAGAGAGCAUAAUGCAGAAAAAAAUACUUGCAUUUGGGUUGCCAGGGAAUCCAGUGAGCUGUAUGGUUUGUUUUGAUCUUUUUGUGGUCCCCACCAUCCGCCAUCUUUCUGGAUGGGGAAACACUCAUCUUUUCAGAGUGCAGGCUCGUCUUCAGCAGCCCAUAAAGACAGAUUUAGCUCGACCAGAAUUCCAUCGUGCCAUUAUUAGGUGGGAAGUCAAUGAUGGCUCAGGCAAUCCUGGUUUUGUUGCUGAAAGCACUGGUCAUCAGAGAAGCAGCCGGCUCUUAAGUAUGAAGGCAGCUAAUGCUUUGUUGGAGUUGCCAGCAAAAGGCGGUGUCAUAUCUGCUGGGACUUCUGUUUCAGCCAUUAUAAUUUCUGACUUAAGCAGUACUUCCAUUUGCAAUAGUUCCUUAUCAUUUGAUUCAACUUCUGCUUCCAAAGGAAGUUCAUCGCAAGAAAUAAUUUCAGAUGAGUCUCAGAAUGCUGAGGUCAGAGUAGCUCUUCUUACAGUGAGUGAUACUGUUGCAUCAGGGGCUGGGCCUGAUCGAAGUGGUCCUAGGGCAGUUUCUGUUGUAAAUUCAUCAUCAGAAAGGUUAGGAGGAGCAAGGGUAGUUGCAACAGCUGUGGUUCCAGAUGAAGUGAGCAAGAUUAAGGAUGUUCUACAGAGAUGGAGUGAUAUUGACAAAAUGGAUCUGAUUCUUACCCUUGGUGGCACUGGUUUCACCCCAAGAGAUGUAACCCCUGAAGCAACAAAAGAGCUGAUUGAGAAAGAAACACCUGGUCUCAUACAUGUAAUGACGCAAGAGAGUUUAAAGGUGACACCAUUUGCUAUGCUCUCACGCUCUGCAGCUGGAAUACGGGGAUCAUCAUUGAUCAUCAACAUGCCUGGGAAUCCAAAUGCUGUUGCUGAGUGCAUGGAAGCUUUGUUGCCUGCCCUAAAGCAUGCGUUAAAGCAGAUAAAGGGGGAUAAAAGAGAGAAACAUCCCCGUCAUGUCCCUCAUGCACAAGCAGCACCUGUAGAUGUGUGGGAGCAUAGUUAUAAAAUGGCAUCUGAUGGCGGCAAAGAGCCUAGUUGUUCUUGUUCCCAUUGAAGAAGUAUUGUGGAGGAGCAGAAAGCAUUUACUAAAAGAUGCAGAAGCUAAGUUCACCCUUGAAGCUCCAAGUCAUUGGGUUGUGAGGGAGGCCAGGUGUUCUCUCACUCUGUGUGUGGGUGCACAUGCAUGCCUUUAUGUGUGUGAGUAGGGGCCAGGAGGAUCACCCUGAGGGAGAGGGGGAACAUUUCUUUUUUGGAAUGCUGAGAUUAUCAUCAGUGCAAGUACUAUUUGGUAGCUUGGAACAAGAUGCCCUGCUCCUCUUACUGUAGCAGACGUCACUCUGUCGUAUGCAACCACAUAUCCUCAACCUGUCAUAUGAAGAUCUCAUUUUGGUAUGUGGAAUUUUUUUAAUUAAAAGUAUAGUUAUGCCUACCGAUCAAGGUAUAGCCUAGUAGUUGGAGGCUUUGGUUGAGUUGUAGAUCUAGACAUCCUGAAUUCGAUCUCCGCUAGAAGUUUCCCUAGAUUACCUGAUACACAGUUCUGCCGGGUGGGAUUGUGUAUUCGUGGUUUACUCUACAGGGGUGGGUCUAGAGGGCCUUGUCUUGGUGAGGUUCCAUGUCAUAAAAAAAUAAAAA